rnacentral:rRNA from 1 species
AGAGAUAGCUGGUUCUCCCCGAAAUAUCUUUAGGGAUAGCGUCAACAAAAUAGGUUUAUCGAAGGUAGAGCACUGAAUGUGUGAUGGCCCCACCUCGGGGUACUGAUCUCAAUCAAACUCCGAAUGUCGGUAAAGUAAGUUGGCAGUCAGACUACGGGUGAUAAGGUUCGUGGUCAAAAGGGAAAGAGCCCAGACCGCCAGAUAAGGUCCCAAAAUAUAUGCUAAGUGGAAAAGGAAGUAGAGAUGCACAAACAGCCAGGAGGUUGGCUUAGAAGCAGCCAUCCUUUAAAGAGUGCGUAAAAGCUCACUGGUCGAGUGACUCUGCGCCGAAAAUGUACCGGGGCUAAGCAUAUUACCGAAGCUGCGGAUUUAAAAAGAUUUUUUAAGUGGUAGGGGAGCGUUCCUAACAGCGGUGAAGCUAGAUCGUGAGGACUAGUGGAGCGUUAGGAAGUGAGAAUGCCGGUGUAAGUAACGAAAAGACAGGUGAGAAUCCUGUCCGUCAUAAACCCAAGGUUUCCAGGGGAAGGUUCGUCCGCCCUGGGUAAGUCGGGGCCUAAGGUGAGGCUGAAGAGCGUAGCCGAUGGAUAACUAGUAGAGAUUCUAGUACCAGUGUAGUGACUGAUGGAGUGACAAAGAAGGAUAGGCGUCCACCCUUAAUGGAUUGGGUGAGAAGGAUUCGAGGCUAGUACUUAGGCAAAUCCGGGUACUGUUAAAGCUGAGAACUGAUAUAAAGACGUACGAGUUCAUGCUUUCAAGAAAAGCUUCUAAGGUUAAUCAUUAUACUGCCCGUACCGUAAACCGACACAGGUGGGUGAGUAGAAUAUAUUAAGACGCGCGAGAAAACUGUUGUUAAGGAACUCGGCAAAUUGACCCCGUAACUUCGGGAAAAGGGGGACUCCUUAUGAAAACGAGGAGUCGCAGAGAAAAGGCCCAAGCGACUGUUUAGUAAAAACACAGGUCUCUGCAAAACCGUAAGGUGAAGUAUAGAGGCUGACGCUUGCCCGGUGCUGGAAGAUUAAGAGGAGAUGUCAGGGUUAAACCGAAGCAUUGAAUUGAAGUCCCAGUAAACGGCGGCCGUAACUAUAACGGUCCUAAGGUAGCGAAAUUCCUUGGCGGGUAAGUUCCGUCCUGCACGAAAAGCGUAACGAUUUGGGCACUGUCUCAACAACAGACUCGGUGAAAUCAAGCUGCCGGUGAAAACGCCGGCUACCCGCGAUUAGACGAAAAGACCCCAUGGAGCUUCACUGUAACUUGAUAUUGAAACUGGGUGUAAGAUGUACAGGAUAGGUGGGAGGCUAUGAAGAUAGUACGCUAGUAUUGUCGGAGCCAACGUUGGGAUACCACCCUUCGUGCACUUAGUUUCUAACUUCUAGAUGUGUAAUCUAAAGGACAGUGUCUGGUGGGCAGUUUGACUGGGGCGGUCGCCUCCCAAAGAGUAACGGAGGCGCUCGAAGGUUACCUCAGAAUGGUUGGAAAUCAUUCUAUAGAGUGCAAUGGCAGAAGGUAGCUUGACUGCGAGACCAACAAGUCGAGCAGGGACGAAAGUCGGACAUAGUGAUCUUACGGUACCGAAUGGAAGGGCCGUGACUCAACGGAUAAAAGUUACCCUGGGGAUAACAGGCUUAUCGCUUCCAAGCGUUCACAGCGACGAAGCGGUUUGGCACCUCGAUGUCGGCUCGUCGCAUCCUGGAGCUGGAGUAGGUUCCAAGGGUUGGGCUGUUCGCCCAUUAAAGCGGCACGCGAGCUGGGUUCAGAACGUCGUGAGACAGUUCGGUCUCUAUCUAUCGUGGGCGUUGGAAAUUUGAAGGGAGCUGUUCCUAGUAUGAGAAGACCGGAAUGGACGCACCCCUGGUGCACCAGUUAGUACGCCAGUACUACAGCUGGGUAGCUAUGUGCGGAAGGGAUAAACGCUGAAAGCAUCUAAGCGUGAAGCCCCCCUUAAGAUGAGAUUUCCCAAUUAGUAAGACCCCUCAAAGACUAUGAGGUUGAUAGGCCAGGUGUGUAAGUACAGCGAUGUAUUCAGCUUACUGGUACUAAUAGGUCGAGGACUUAACCUU